ACAAAUAACAUGAGAGAUAAUAUAGUUUCUUCGCACCAGUUACAAUUUCGAGUAAUUUCUAUUUACAAGGUAAUAUUUUUGGUGACGCAUAUAUUUUUUUCUAUAAUUACUUCGACCUUUUUAAUAUAAAAGGCAUCUUUCGUUUAAUAUUAGUACAAGUUUAAAUUUCAAAGAUGAAGGCCAUCGUUUUUAUUGUACUAUUAAUGAUCGUCGUUAAUGAAAUUCAGGGAAGAAAAUAUUGCAAUCCUAGUUUAUGUGAAAGAAUUAGGUGUUAUACAGUUGAACCGGAAGUUUGUGAUCCUUUUAGCGAAGUUUUCCAACCGGCCGAUGGUAAAUGUUUUUGUUGUGAUACCUGUAUCCCAAAUGAAGACGUUGGUCAAGAAUAAUAAUGGAUUGAUGGACCACUAAAUAUUUACACCACCUUCCAAUCUUCUGAUAAUGUCAAAAAUAAUGAUAAUAAUUUUGAAAUAAAACAAUAAAUUUAAUUUUU